rnacentral:lncRNA from 1 species
CGGGGAUCGAGCCCUGCGGGCGGCGGGGCAGCGCGGUGGAUCCGGGUGGGGCGGGGACACGUGGGGCGGACACGCUCCUGCCGGGGGGGCCGGGCCCGCCAGCCUGAUCCGCCCCUGCUCCGGGUGGGCUGUCGGGGGGCGGGCGUGUGUCCCCGGCUGCAGGAUCGGUGCCAGGGAGCGGCUGGGCCGGAUGCUGCAGGAGGCACCGGAAGGGCAUCUGGCCCCUCGGAGAGAAGAGAGCAAAGGAGCCAAAGUCGAGGAGGAGCAGCAAAGGAAGGAGCUGCUGAAACAGACUCAAGCCGAGAGACAGAAGAUAGUCUGGGAGUUGAAAGAGCUGCGAGAUUUUCUGGAGGAGCAGAAGCAGCUCCUUCUCUCCCAGCUGGAAGAGCUAGAGAGAUCCAUCGUCCAGAGAGGGGAUGAGGGCCUUUUCAAACGGUCCCAGGAGAUUUCCGUGCUCAGUGGCGGAGAAGGAGAAAGGGGGCAGCAGCCACUGAGCCAGUCCCUGCAGACAGAUGAAGGUUUUCUUCUGCUAAAGAGCCUGGGAAGAAACUUUCCCCGGCCUAAGGAGACAUCCCAUGGGAGACGGCAGCUGCUCUCUGAACGUGAUUGGGAGUGCCUGAAAUUCCCCAAACCCUCAGGACUCCAAUGGUUCCUGCCCGGCAGAGCAGAGGCCUCCCCAGGCUGGGACACCCGCUGACUGCCUCUUCUUUCUCUCCUCUCAGGGUGCUGGAAACACUGCGAGCAGCAAAGCAGACGGGACGUUUCCGGAGCCAGAGCCGGGGUUUGUGGAGCUGGAGAGGAGACUCAGCGAUUUCUCUCUGAAAAGUGCCAUCCUGCAGGAGCUGCUGCUAGGAUUCAAAGGUGAGAUGGGAUCUGGGGACGGCGUCUGCGUUAGUUACAUUGACCAUCUCCCUGGGGAAGGCGUC